rnacentral:rRNA from 1 species
UACGAAGGGGGCUAGCGUUGCUCGGAAUCACUGGGCGUAAAGCGUGCGCAGGCGGUUUUGUAAGCCAGAUGUGAAAUCCCCGGGCUUAACCUGGGAAUGGCAUUUGGGACUGCAAGGCUGGAGUGCGGCAGAGGAGACUGGAAUUCCUGGUGUAGCGGUGGAAUGCGCAGAUAUCAGGAGGAACACCGAUGGCGAAGGCAGUUCUCUGGGCCGUAACUGGCGCUGAGGAGCGAAAGCGUGGGGAGCGAACAGG